GGGGUGUGAAUGAGAAAUUAGAGGUUUAGAGGCAAAUCCUUGAGUCUAAGGGGUUCAAGUUGAAUAGGUUUAAGACGGAAUAUUUUGAAUGCCAGUUUAGUGACUUGAGGCAGGAGGACGAAGUGGUGGUGAGGUUGAAUUCCCAGGAUAUUUGUAAGAGGGAUAGUUUUAAGUGUGUUAGAGUCUAUGAUUCAGGGGAAUGGUGAGAUUGAUGAGGAUGUCUCUAAACGUAUUGGAGUAGGUUGGAUGAAGUGGAGGCUCGUCUCAGGAGUGUUGUGUGAUAAGAAGGUGUCCCUUAAGCUUAAAGGAAAAUUCUCUAUAGUGGCAGUCCGUCCGACCAUGUUGUAUGGAGCGGAGUGUUGGCCAGUCAAGCACUCCCACAUCUAAAAAUUGAAUGUGGCGUAAAUGAGAAUGUUACGUUGGAUGUGUGGCCUUACUAGAGGGGACAGAGUUAGGAAUGAGAUUAUCCGGGAGAAGGUGGGAGUGGCUUCGGUGGAGGACAAGAUGCGGGAAAGAAGGCUGAGAUGGUUUGGGCAUGUGAUGAGGAGGGGCGCAAAUGCCCCAGUUCGUAGGUGUGAGAGGCUAGCUUUGGAUGGAUUCAGGAAGAGUAGAGGUAGGCUGAAGAAAUACUGUAGGGAGGUGAUUAUACAUGACAUGGAGCAGCUUCGGCUUACUGAGGACAUAACCUUAGAUAGGAAGGUGUGGAGGUCGCGGAUAAGGGUGAAGGCUAGUGUGAGUGUGUCGGUUAUAGUAGGCAGUUAGGAGAGAUCUUGUGUAGCUGAGUUCGUAAUUCUAGGACUGUGUACUUAGGUGCAUUUGGUAUGUGAGGGUAUGUUACCACUAGGUGGGGAUCCUUUUUCUUAUUUCUUAGUGCCUAUUUUCUUAUUUAGUGUUGCCCUUAUUUCUCAUAUUUUCUCUGGUUUCUGUUCUAUUAUUUCUUAUUCCUUGUCUACUAUUCUUUACCAUGAGCCGGGGGUUAAUCGAAAACAACCUCUCUACUUCUUCGGAGGUAGCGGUAUGGACUGCGUACAUCUUACCCUCCUCAAACCCCACUUGUGGGAAUACACUGGGUUUGUUGUUGUUGUUGUUGUUGUUUUAAUGGUGAUUCAUAUGAAUGAUAAAUAUGAUAUCAUUCUAUGGGUAUUAUGGUGAUUCAUAUGAUAGAUACAUUUUGUAUGAUUUUAACGGGUGAUACAUAUGAUAUUAAUGGGUGAUACAUAUUGUAUUAUGGUGAUUCAUAU
rnacentral:lncRNA from 1 species